GAUGAACGCUGGCGGUGUGCCUAAUACAUGCAAGUCGUGCGGAAAGGCCCUUCGGGGUACUAGAGCGGCGGACGGGUGAGUAACGCGUGGGUAACCUGCCCUGUACACACGGAUAACAUCCCGAAAGGUAUGCUAAUACGAGAUAAUAUGCUUUUAUAGCAUGGGAGAAGUAACAAAGCUCCGGCGGUACAAGAUGGACCCGCGUCUGAUUAGCUAGUUGGUAAGGUAACGGCUUACCAAGGCGACGAUCAGUAGCCGACCUGAGAGGGUGAUCGGCCACAUUGGAACUGAGACACGGUCCAAACUCCUACGGGAGGCAGCAGUGGGGAAUAUUGCACAAUGGGCGAAAGCCUGAUGCAGCAACGCCGCGUGAGCGAUGAAGGCCUUCGGGUCGUAAAGCUCUGUCCUCAAGGAAGAUAAUGACGGUACUUGAGGAGGAAGCCCCGGCUAACUACGUGCCAGCCGCCGCAGUAA
rnacentral:rRNA from 1 species